UUGGGGCAGCCUUGGGACUCCAGGAAGCAGUACUCCGGGCAAGAGAGCCACAAUCCAAGCAGAACCAGCCUCCCCAGGUGUAGCUGAGAAGGAGGAUGUGCCUCCUUCAGAGGUCUGCACACUGCAGGUAUCAUAGGCAGAGAGGAAGGGGACAGUGAACUUGUUCCAUCCACAUAUGAAACAUCCGCCGGGGCCUCCCAGACAGUUUAGAAAAGGCUACAAGACUGGCCCUCAGGUCUGCUCUGGAGCUGGCAAGGACAAUAGGGCCCACGAAUCCAGGGUGUUAACUCCAGGUAAGGCAUGGAGUUUCCAACGUGUGAGGCACGUCACAAAGCAAAUCCCUGUGAGUGGACACCCCCAAGCUUCAAGCAGCCAUUAGAGUCACCGGACUGUCACUCACAGGCAGAGACAGUCCCCACGUGGCUGGACAAACAAGCAGAAUUUCCCCUGGGCCGGUUGCUCGGCCUUUCCAAGGUUCCUGAACAUGUUCUCAGGGCUGGCAUGGGCAGAAUAAGCACUUGAAAAUUGACAAACCUCUUUUGAUGACCUAAUGAUCACAUUGAAGCUUCACAACAGCCAAGUGGGCAGGAAAGGCAAUCACUCCCAUUUUACGUGAGACAAAGCCUCUCCCUGGAGACUCUGGCCUCUCCUGUGCAUCAGCAGAUUAUUCCUGGCUUUGAAGAUUAUGGAUUCCCCUGGAAUCCCCGGGAUUGAUAAUCCCUGAAGGCUCUGCAUUCUCCAACAGCCUAUGAUCUGAGGGUUGAUGGUGGCAUCUAAGAUUUAUAACCCAGUCUAGGAUCAGCUCAUUCCUCUUUUGCAGCCUUCCCAGAAAUUUGGAAAGUUGAACAAGUGACAAACCAUUCCACUGGAUUUCUUGAUGUGUCUAUGAAACAUUUGCCUAGAUUUUAAUUCUGCUUGAUCUUCAAUAUAUACUAAAUCAGUUAGGCAGGGAAGCAAUGUUUAUGAAAUUAUUUCCCAGGUGAAGAAUAUUUAUUUCCCCUAGCAUGCCUGAAAGGUAACUGACUGCCUGAUUGUGACCUUUAAAACUCACCCCCAAAAAUUAAAUAUCUUCCCAACCAAAUUCUACUGAGACCUCAAAUGCCACAGUUAAAAAUAUCCAGUUAGAUGCAAACACUGUAUUCUCUAGGAGGCGGGAUAGGUUCAUGUCAUCAGUCAUUCACACCCUAGUAGAAAUGAGCUCAUCACCUGCUUUUUUUCCUUCUGCAAUAUUGGCUGAGAGUGACACUAAUAAUAACUGUAUCUAUCAUUUACUGGAUAUUUACUAUUAGUAGAUCCUUUGCAUGGGCCAAGAUCUUUAAGAUUAAAUAAAUUAAUACAUGUAAAACAUUUAGAAAAAUGACUGGCUUACGGUAAGUGCUAUAUCAGUAUUUCAUAUGACUGUUCUUCGCUUUUAUUAUCUCAUUUAGUCUUCACAGCCCUAUAAAAGAUACUGUAAUUAGUCCCAUUUUACAGAUGAUGACAUUGAGGCUGAGAGGAAAUGCCACUCGUCCAAAGUCACAUAGCUAAUAAAUAAUAGUGUGAGAUUGAAGCCCACGCACCUUGAUUCCAGGGGAAAAAGAAAGUGCAGAAGCAAAGAGGAGGGAAACUGCCCUAAAUAAAACUGCUCCCUAUUUUAUACUGGUUACUAUUUCCAAAUGCUUUCUGAGCACACCACUACUAGUGGUGUAGAGAACUGUGCUACAGCCACAUGUACCAUAGGCAUGUGUGAGGCCCUAGCCCUGUCCUUAGAGACGCCUGCACUCUGGAAGAAGAGACAAGCACGAACUCAGAUAAUUAUAACUCCAGGGUACCUGCAUGGCUCUCAAAAGGCCUGUCCUGGGAGAACUCAGGGCAGAACAAUGCAGCCUCAGGCCUCCAAAUUAGAAUGUUAGGUUACAGGGGCUUAGAAUGAUGUCUUCUAAGUCAGACCUCAAGACAUCUAGCUGACAGGAUAGCUUUUUCUACUUUUUUAUUUAUAUGAAAAGUCUUACAAAGGCAUGAAAGUAAGACACAUUUUUUUAUCUUGAUUUCCUUAAUUUAAAAAGUUGAAGUGCAUGAAAUGAGUCCAUAAUUUAAAAAGUUGAAGUGCAUGAAAUGAGUCCACUCCCCAUGCCUGCAGGCUGCUUUGAGGUCCCAUUCAGCACAGCAGGUAGUAUUACACCCAAGACCCUUCUCCCCACAGUGCCAGAGAGAAGAUGCCUACAUCCUAAGCGAGUUCAGUUUUCAGGGGCUCUAGACCUAGGACUGUGUGACCUCCAAAGCUGAUCCAGAGGAAAAUGAAUUUAAAUUGCCUGAGGUUAACCUCUUCACAAAGGACCCUUGGGACUGAUGUCGGGGAGAUGCUGGAGGUGAGCCAGGCGUAGCCUUGGGACUGGAACGUAACAAAGAGAAUCUCUCUCCUAUAUAGAUGAUAACCCAAGCAACCAAAAAAUGGCUCGACCUAUCUGGGUGUUCCGUCCUUUGUAAGGAAGAGGAUGUCUCAGCUGAGCUGAACUCUGUUUGUCUAGGCAGGUCUGACUUCAAAGCAACAAUGGUCGAGUCAUUUCUUUGUGCCACGAUGCUAAGCUCAUGGAUAAUCCUUCUGAGAAUAAUUUGACUCCAGAUAGAGGCCUUCUGUAGGGAAAGAACCCACUGACCAGCCAAUGCAAUGUGGGUCACACUAGAAGUUACAUUUCUCACUCUUAGCAAGUGAUGUCUGGUCUUGGCAAUGACUUUGGGAAGGCUGCAGCAGUCACCUCUAUACCAGUCAUUUCUGGCUGAGUUCCUCGUUCUUGAAACUAUGACGCCAUCUUGUUGCUCAUGCACCACUCACUAUGAGAUCUUUGAGACUGGCAACUGCAUCUUGCUCAUGUUAGUAUAUGAACUGGCAUGUAGCUGUCACUCAGAGCACAUCUGUUGAAUGGGUGUGAACUGAGACUUUUCUGAAGCGACAAAGCAGACUGUAACCACCACCGGCACCUCAAUGUUUAACAUAUGCUAAGUGCUACAUUUAAUUUGCUAAAAAUCCAAGGGAAUUCCAACUUUGUUACCUCUUAAGAAAUUCCUGAGCAUUUUGAAAUAGCCCUUGCUAUUGCCAACUCCGGUUUUGCAAAAACCCAGAGAUCAUUAAAAAAUCAAAGGACCCACCUCAUUUCACACAACUCACCAACAGAGAUAACUGGACAGAGGUGGGCUGGGAAGCCAACGAGCUAGAAAUGAUGACGGGCACUGCCUCGACAGCCAGCAAACCUGAAUCUUAAGAAUGCUACUUACUAAUCAUGUGACUUUGACAAACUGGGCCAUCUGUCUGAGCUUCACAUUCCUCAUCUAUAAAUCAGAGGUAACAGAAGUUAAUGACCAUGUAUCUGACUCUUUGAGUCACUGUGGAUAUUAACAGUGGAAUAAUCAGGGCCUGGCAAUUAACAAACCCUCGAUGACUGUUAGUUGGAAUUGCUAUUAGUGAUGAUGAUACAAUGCAACUCUGGAAGGAGCAGUUAACUUCUGAGGAAAACCAGCUCCCACAUCCUCUGUGUAAUUUUGCCCAAUAUAAGGCCAAGCGUUGCCAAAAGCUUAGAAGUAAAAGAACUUGUCUGCACAUAUCUGGUGGGACCACUUCCUUAUGGUGGGCUGGCAAGUCUGAGAGUAAGCCCCUGCACUGAGUGACCCGGGAGCUAUCGUAUAGGGGAAGGAGAGCAGGAGGAAGAUGAGCAGCAGAGAAGAGAAAAGAACAGGCAUUCACUCAUGCACCCAGCAACUAAGACAAAUUGAAUGGAUCCUAUUUAAAAUCUGAUCAGAGAGGAAAAGGCAUGAACUCGAACAGGCUGAAGUAGAAAGAGCUGGUGAUGAUGUGAUGAAGGCGAUGAUCCCAGGGCUGGCAUAAACCGAGAAUUGAGAACUAGACCUCAGCUUGAGGAGCAGGGAUCAGGGAAGGCUGCAUAGCAGGCGUGGAACUCUUCAAUAAACAGGCCAUACUGUGUUUUACUCUUAUCAUCCUCUAUCAAAAAAAAAAAAAAAACAUGUGUCCUUGGCCAGGUGCAGUGGUUCAUGUCUGUAAUCCCGGCACUUUGGAAGGCUGAGGAGGGUGGAUCACAAGGUCAAAAGAUCGAGACCAUCCUGGCCAAUAUGGUGAAACCCUGUCUCUACUAAAAAUACAAUAAUUAGCUGGACAUGGUGGCGGGCACCUAUAGUCCCGGCUACUCCAGAGGCUGAGGCAGGAGAAUCAAUUGAACCAGGAGGGCGAAGGUUGCAGUGAACAGAGAUCUCACCACUGCACUCUGGUGACAGAAUGAGACUCUCAAAAAAAAAAAAAAAAAAAAAAAGUACUCUCUUAAUUCAUGACUGUUUCUUAUCUUUAAUAUUCA